rnacentral:rRNA from 1 species
AUUGAACGCUGGCGGCAGGCUUAACACAUGCAAGUCGAACGAGUGGCGGACGGGUGAGUAAUGCUUAGGAAACUUGCUGUUCGAGGGGGAUAACUACUGGAAACCGUAUCUUAUACCGCAUACUAUAGGAUGAGCCGAUAUGGGAUUAGGUAGUUGGUGGGGUAAAGGCUCACCAAGGCGACGAUCCCUGGCUGGUCUGAGAGGAGGACCAGCCAAACGGGAACUGAGACACGGCCCAGAUUCCGACGGGAGGCAGCAGGGGGGAAUAUUGGAAAAGGGGGGAAAGCCUGAUGCAGCCAUGCGGCGUGUAGGAAGAAGGCCUUCGGGUUGUAAAGUACUUUCAGCGGGGAGGCGUUACCCGCAGAAGAAGCACCGGCUAACUCCGUGCCAGCAGCCGCGGUAAUUC